UACGAAGGUCCCAAGCGUUAUCCGGAUUUAUUGGGUUUAAAGGGUGCGUAGGCGGGCUAUUAAGUCAGUGGUGAAAGCCCCAAGCUUAACUUGGGAACUGCCAUUGAUACUGAUGGUCUUGAGUACAUUUGAGGUGGGCGGAAUUUAUGGUGUAGCGGUGAAAUGCAUAGAUACCAUAAAGAACACCGAUUGCGAAGGCAGCUUACUAGGCUGUAACUGACGCUGAGGCACGAAAGCGUGGGGAUCAAACAGG
rnacentral:rRNA from 1 species